rnacentral:rRNA from 1 species
AUUGAACGCUGGCGGCAGGCCUAACACCUGCAAGUCGAACGAGUGGCGGACGGGUGAGUAAUGUCUGGGCAACUGCCUGAUGGAGGGGGAUAACUACUGGAAACGGUAGCUAAUACCGCAUACCCUCAGAUGUGCCCGGAUGGGAUUAGCUGGUUGGUGGGGUAAAGGCUGACCUAGGCGACGAUCCCUAGCUGGUCGGAGAGGAUGACCAGCCACACGGGAACUGAGACACGGUCCAGAAUCCUACGGGAGGCAGCAGUGGGGACUAUUGCACAAUGGGCGCAAGCCUGAUGCAGCCAUGCCGCGUGUAUGAAGAAGGCCUUCGGGUUGUAAAGUACUUUCAGCGGGGAGGCGUUACCCGCAGAAGAAGCACCGGCUAACUCCGUGCCAGCAGCCGCGGUAAUAC